GCAAAAUUUGUCUUUGCCGUCUGGCCCGACGAAAUGCUGACGGCAAAGAACAGUACUGACGGCAAAUCUCCUGUUUCCUGUAGUGGGGGCGCUAACCUUGGCCGGGACCUACGCGAGCACAGAAAGGCCCUCCUGCUGGCUAUCCAAGCCAUGGACGCCCGUGCCGACACCUUCGGGAUCUCCCCGGAUGAAUGGAUGCUGAGAUAUGAUCUUGAAGACCAGCUUUCAACCAUUUACACGGAUGAGGAGGCUUACUGGAGGUUGCGUGGUACCCAACGGUGGGUGCUUCGGGCAGACGCUAACACCACCUAUUUCCAGGCGGUCGCGAACGACCGGCGGCGUCGGAACUCCAUCCACUGCCUAUGGGAUGGAGCUACGCCUCUCAUUCGCCCCUCGGCCAUCCGUGCCCAUGUUGACGGCUUCUACAAAGCUCUAUUUACC
rnacentral:rRNA from 1 species